rnacentral:tRNA from 1 species
GGGCUGUAGCUCAGUUGGGAGAGCGCUACAAUGGCAUUGUAGAGGUCAGGGGUUCGAUUCCCCUCAGCUCC